rnacentral:lncRNA from 9 species
UUUGUUGUUCUUCUUUGAACUUACUCCAGUUUCCUUACAUCCUUCAUUGCAUAAAGAAGAGUAUUUUUAACAGGCUCAUUCCACUUCCAAGAAUCCAUCCUGUGAUGGAAACAGCGAGGGCUCAGCAGAUCUGAUGCCAUGAGAGCUGCCGAGGGAAGUUCAAGGAGUGGUCCUUGGUGGCAGAGAGGCUGAAAGCAUCCAGAAGGCCAUAGCCUCCUCGGUGCUCAGAAAAUAUCAAAAAUGCGUCCCCACGGCAAGGUGGAUUUUUUAGAUUCACAGUGACGUAUUCCAUUCUGCUGGACUGCAGAAAAGAAAAGAAAGUCAGUUUUUACACAUCAUGGAGCAGAGCAAAAAGGAAAAUGAGCAACUACCUGAUAAGUGCUCUUGAAAAAUGCUUAAAUAAAAGCUCAAUGGUGUGAAGACCGUAGCUAAUCCCCACAUCAAUUCCGAGGACCAGAAUUACACAGGCUCUGGGGAAAGAGGCUCCAGCAAAGAGAGCCAUCCUAUCCAGAUCAGCGUCUGCUGCCAAGUGGCCCAAUAUCAACACACAGUCUUGAGGUCUUGAGGGGGAAGGGGGUGGGAGAGGACCCUCAUUCCGGAAUUCUGAAAGCUUGCCAGACUGAGUCAACCAUGUCACUCUCCUCGAUUAUGGAAUGAAAUAAAGCCUUA